rnacentral:lncRNA from 1 species
CCCAAGCAAUGCACUUGGCGUUCUCUUUCAAUCUUACCCCUUUGCCCGAAUUCAAAGAGUCAUAUAUUUUAUUUCUUUUUAGAAGACUUUAAGAUUUGUCUUCUCAUCUUCAUUGCCACAGCUGAGUAGUUGCUAGCUAUUCAUCUCACACUUAGCUGGAAUAUGAUUCUCUCAUUUUUUCUUUCUAAUACAUGCAGUUUUGUUCUAGUAAUUUUCCUUACCUGUACUUUUUUACUAUUAUUUUCUUUCUAAACUCUCUACUGAAUAUUUCCCUGCUUCUCCUGUGUUUAAGUGAGAACUGUGCCUGACUGAGUUCUUUGGAAGAAUUUUUCUCAUUGUGUCCCCCUUAUCAGUCAUUACUCCACAUGGCUCCUAUGAUCCAAAAUGGCUAACAUUAGGACCGUUUUAUUCUGUCACUUCUGAGUCCUUCAUCAUACUUUUCUUUCAGACCCAAACCAUCUUCAUCUUCC